rnacentral:rRNA from 1 species
GCCUACGGGAGGCAGCAGGAGGAAUAUUGGACAGUGGGCGAAAGCCUGAUCCAGCAAUGCCGCGUGAGUGAUGAAGGCCUUAGGGUUGUAAAGCUCUUUUAGUAGGGAUGAUAAUGACAGUACCUACAGAAAAAGCCCCGGCUAACUCCGUGCCAGCAGCCGCGGUAAU